rnacentral:rRNA from 1 species
UGGAUGCGGGGGCUUCACCGCCUACCAAAUCCUGACAAACUCCGAAUGCCAGUAUUAUGUUUUGCAGCAGUGAGCCGCUGGGUGCUAAUGUCCGGCGACAAAAGAGGAACAACUCAGACCAUCAUCUAAGGCCCCGAAGAAUACACUAAGUUGAACUAACGAUGUGCGACUGCAGCGACAGCUAGGAUGUUAGCUUGGAAGCAGCUAUUCAUUUAAAGAGUGCGUAACAGCUCACUAGUCGAGCGGUUGUGCGUGGAUAAUAAACGGGCAUCAAGUGUAUUGCCGAAGCUAUGGGAUCGAAAGAUCGGUAGGGGAGCAUUCCAUCGACGCAGAAGCCGGAUCGUAAGGUCCGGUGGAGUUUAUGGAAAAGCAAAUGUAGGCAUAAGUAACGAUAAGGCGGGAGAGUAACCCGCCCACCGCAAGACCAAGGUUUCCUGAUCAACGUUAAUCGGAUCAGGGUUAGUCGGGCCCUAAGGGUAAGCCGAAAGGUGAUCUCGAUGGACAAUCGGUUAAUAUUCCGAUACUAGCAUAUACUGCGACGGAGGGACGGAGAAGCGUAAGCUACGCGAACAGACGGAAUUGUUCGUUAAAGGGUGUAGGUAUAUCGAGGAGUUAAUAGCUUUUUGAUGCUGAAACCUGACAGUACCAAGCGGCUACGGCCAAUUGGAUAGUUAGCCCAAGCAAGCUUCCGAGAAAAACUUCUAAGCUUCAGGUAUAUGGUACCCGUACCGUAAACCGACACAGGUGGUCGAGGAGAGUAUCCUAAGGUGCUUGAGUGAAUCACGGAUAAGGAACUAGGCAAAUUAACCCCGUAACUUCGGGAUAAGGGGUCCCCACGCCAGUGGGGCGCAGCGAAGAGGUCCAGGCAACUGUUUAACAAAAACACAGGGCUCUGCUAAUUCGAAAGAAGAAGUAUAGGGCCUGACACCUGCCCGGUGCUGGAAGGUUAAGAGGGGAUGUCAUCGCAAGAGAAGCAUUGAAUCGAAGCCCCAGUAAACGGCGGCCGUAACUAUAACGGUCCUAAGGUAGCGAAAUUCCUUGUCGGGUAAGUUCCGACCUGCACGAAUGGUGUAACGAUCUGGACACUGUCUCAACCGUGAGCUCGGUGAAAUUGUAGUCCCGGUGAUGAUGCCGGGUACCCGCAACGGGACGAAAAGACCCCGUGAACCUUUACUAUAGCUUAACGCUGAAUUUGGGUACACAAUGUGUAGGAUAGGCCGGAGGCUUUGAAGCGGGCACGCCAGUGUUCGUGGAGCCGACGUUGAAAUACGGCCCUUUGUGUAUUUGAGUUCUAACCCUGCGAAGGGGACACCGUUUGGUGGGUAGUUUGACUGGGGUGGUCGCCUCCAAAAGCGUAACGGAGGCUUCCCAAGGUACCCUCAGCACGAAUGGUAACCGUGCGCAGAGUGCAAUAGCAUAAGGGUGCUUGACUGUGAGACAUACAAGUCGACCAGGUGCGAAAGUAGGGUAUAGUGAUCCGGUGGUUCUGUGUGGACUGGCCAUCGCUCAAAGGAUAAAAGGUACUCCGGGGAUAACAGGCUGAUCGCCGCCAAGAGCUCAUAUCGACGCGGCGGUUUGGCACCUCGAUGUCGGCUCGUCACAUCCUGGGGCUGGAGAAGGUCCCAAG